CCUGGCUCACGUUGAGCGCUAGCUACAGGCUUAACACAUGCAAGUCGAGGGGUAUCAGGAAGAAAGCUUGCUUUCUUUGCUGGCGACCGGCGCACGGGUGAGUAACACGUAUCCAACCUGCCCUUUACUCGGGGAUAGCCUUUCGAAAGAAAGAUUAAUACCCGAUAGUAUAAUGAUUCCGCAUGGUUUCAUUAUUAAAGGAUUCCGGUAAAGGAUGGGGAUGCGUUCCAUUAGGUUGUUGGUGAGGUAACGGCUCACCAAGCCUUCGAUGGAUAGGGGUUCUGAGAGGAAGGUCCCCCACAUUGGAACUGAGACACGGUCCAAACUCCUACGGGAGGCAGCAGUGAGGAAUAUUGGUCAAUGGGCGCGAGCCUGAACCAGCCAAGUAGCGUGAAGGAUGACUGCCCUAUGGGUUGUAAACUUCUUUUAUAUUAGAAUAAAGUGCAGUAUGUAUACUGUUUUGUAUGUAUAAUAUGAAUAAGGAUCGGCUAACUCCGUGCCAGCAGCCGCGGUAAUACGGAGGAUCCGAGCGUUAUCCGGAUUUAUUGGGUUUAAAGGGAGCGUAGGUGGACUGGUAAGUCAGUUGUGAAAGUUUGCGGCUCAACCGUAAAAUUGCAGUUGAUACUGUCAGUCUUGAGUACAGUAGAGGUGGGCGGAAUUCGUGGUGUAGCGGUGAAAUGCUUAGAUAUCACGAAGAACUCCGAUUGCGAAGGCAGCUCACUGGACUGCAACUGACACUGAUGCUCGAAAGUGUGGGUAUCAAACAGGAUUAGAUACCCUGGUAGUCCACACAGUAAACGAUGAAUACUCGCUGUUUGCGAUAUACAGUAAGCGGCCAAGCGAAAGCAUUAAGUAUUCCACCUGGGGAGUACGCCGGCAACGGUGAAACUCAAAGGAAUUGACGGGGGCCCGCACAAGCGGAGGAACAUGUGGUUUAAUUCGAUGAUACGCGAGGAACCUUACCCGGGCUUAAAUUGCAGUGGAAUGAUGUGGAAACAUGUCAGUGAGCAAUCACCGCUGUGAAGGUGCUGCAUGGUUGUCGUCAGCUCGUGCCGUGAGGUGUCGGCUUAAGUGCCAUAACGAGCGCAACCCUUAUCUUUAGUUACUAACAGGUCAUGCUGAGGACUCUAGAGAGACUGCCGUCGUAAGAUGUGAGGAAGGUGGGGAUGACGUCAAAUCAGCACGGCCCUUACGUCCGGGGCUACACACGUGUUACAAUGGGGGGUACAGAAGGCAGCUACCUGGUGACAGGAUGCUAAUCCCAAAAGCCUCUCUCAGUUCGGAUCGAAGUCUGCAACCCGACUUCGUGAAGCUGGAUUCGCUAGUAAUCGCGCAUCAGCCACGGCGCGGUGAAUACGUUCCCGGGCCUUGUACACACCGCCC
rnacentral:rRNA from 1 species